UACGUAGGGUGCAAGCGUUGUCCGGAAUUAUUGGGCGUAAAGAGCUCGUAGGCGGUCUGUCGCGUCUGCUGUGAAAACUCAGGGCUUAACCCUGAGCUUGCAGUGGGUACGGGCAGACUAGAGUGCGGUAGGGGAGACUGGAAUUCCUGGUGUAGCGGUGAAAUGCGCAGAUAUCAGGAGGGAACACCCGGUGGGCGAAAGGCGGG
rnacentral:rRNA from 1 species